rnacentral:rRNA from 1 species
UACGUAGGGAGCAAGCGUUGUCCGGAUUUAUUGGGCGUAAAGAGCUCGUAGGCGGCUCGUCGCGUCGACCGUGAAAACCCGCGGCUUAACUGCGGGCUUGCGGUUGAUACGGGCGGGCUAGAGUUCGGUAGGGGAGACUGGAAUUCCUGGUGUAGCGGUGAAAUGCGCAGAUAUCAGGAGGAACACCGGUGGCGAAGGCGGGUCUCUGGGCCGAUACUGACGCUGAGGAGCGAAAGCGUGGGGAGCGAACAGG